CCUACGGGUGGCAGCAGUGAGGAAUAUUGCACAAUGGGCGCAAGCCUGAAGCAGCCACGCCGCGUGAAGGAUGACUGACCUAGGGGUGGUAAACUCUGUUUAUAAAGGAAUAAAGUGAGGCACGUGAGCCUUUUUGUAUGUACUUUAUGAAUAAGGAUCGGCUAACUACGUGCCAGCAGCCGCGGUAAUACGGAGGAUCCGAGCGUUAUGCGGAUUUAUUGGGUUUAAAGGGAGCGUAGAUGGGUUGUUAAGUCAGUUGUGAAAGUUUGCGGCUCAACCGUAGAACUGCAAUUGAUACUGGCAGUCUUGAGUACAGUUGAGGUAGGCGGAAUUCGUGGUGUAGCGGUGAAAUGCGUAGAUAUCACGAAGAACACCGAUUGCGAAGGCAGCUUACUAAACUGCCACUGACAUUGAGGCUCGAAAGUGUGGGUAGCAAACAGGAUUAGAUACCCGGGUAGUC
rnacentral:rRNA from 1 species